GAUGAACGCUAGCUGGAGGCUUAAUACAUGCAAGUCGAGCGGGAUUGGGUAGCAAUACCCAUGAGAGCGGCGCACGGGUGAGUAACGCGUACACGACCUACCUCUGACAGGGGGAUAGCCCUGGGAAACUGGGAUUAAUACCGCAUAUUAUUCUGAAUAAUAAAGGUUUGGAAUGAAAGCUGAGGCGGUCAGAGAUGGGUGUGCGUCUGAUUAGCUAGUUGGUAGGGUAACGGCCUACCAAGGCGAUGAUCAGUAGGGGGCGUGAGAGCGUGGUCCCCCACACGGGUACUGAGACACGGACCCGACUCCUACGGGAGGCAGCAGUAAGGAAUAUUGGUCAAUGGGCGAAAGCCUGAACCAGCCAUCCAGCGUGCAGGAAGAAGGCCCUAUGGGUUGUAAACUGCUUUUAUCAGGGAAGAAACCUCUGGAUUUACUCCGGAGCUGACGGUACCUGAAGAAUAAGCACCGGCUAACUCCGUGCCAGCAGCCGCGGUAAAGUCGAA
rnacentral:rRNA from 1 species